rnacentral:lncRNA from 1 species
UCGAUCUCCCGACCUUGUGAUCCGCCCGCCUCGGCCUCCCAAAGUGCUGGGAUUACAGGUGUGAGCCCCCACGCCCGGCCGCUGCCAGGCUUUUUGCCUUCUCCAGGCCGGCAUAUAUUUGGUGCGCAUUUAAAUCUCCCUUAAACAAAGUGUAGAAAAAAAAGUGCUUUAACAAAUUUGAAUCAAUAUAUCUUUCACCUGUGCAAGAUCUAUGAGAAUAGAGACUGAAAGUUUUUUCAUUAUAUUAAUAAAUCACUAGUGCUUAGCGUGAAAUAGUUUCUUAAUUCUUUUCAACAGAUAAACAAAUAUGUAGAUUUUGAAAACAUCUUUUAAAUUCCUAUUAAAUAUCUCGUUUUAAAAAUACAUCUGAAAUAAAUCUUUCCCUACACAUAUUAAAAAACCUUUUUCUUUUGGGGUUUACAAGUAGUCUCUCCAAGGAACUGGGGCAAAGAAAAUUCCAAGGAAGCUACACGUAUUAGAAAAAUCUUUGUGUUAGUUGAGAACUGUACCAUGUAACUUUGUAAGACAAUAUUUUAUUUAAUUUUCUUAAACGUUGUUAUAAAGGGAUGUCACUAUAGUGAUACUGUUUUAGGUGGAUAUAAUACUUACCUUUACCCUCUUUUUAUUGAUUUUUAAAUAUUACACACAUUUUAAUUAGUGGCAAUUUUACAAUAAUGUGAGGCUCUUAGAAAAGUGUUCAUUUUUGCUCAUGAGAAAUGGGAAAUGUGUUGGAGUUUUGGAGUUCCAGUUCAAAUAACUGAAGAAAAAAAUAUAUGUAUAUAUGUAUAUAGUGGCUUCAACUGCAUACUUUAAUCAGCUUAGGAACAGUUAUCCCAAAUUUCUUUCUUAACACAUAGUAUUAUUCUUUCCAAAGUGACUAAAACUAAGAAUUUUUGAAUAACGUUUAUUUCUGUGAUAAAGUAAUUAUGUACAAGUUAGAAGUUAUGCUAGGGGGCCUGGAAAUUCUCGGACAGAAAUUCUAUUUUCUCAUAAUUUCAUGGCUUUUAAAUAUGUCGCCAUUGCAUAGAGUUUUCACAGCAGCUGGUAGAGAUGUAAUAUUAAUUUUAUUUGCCUAGGGAAGGGAAGGAAGUAGCUGGCCAUUGUGUGUAUGUGAUGUAGUAGGGAAGACUAGGUUACUCUGAAGUAGUUUCGAGCAUUAGUACCUUAGGUAUUGCAUUGAAUUAUUUAAGAAGGUGGGGAAAGUUCAGAAGAAAAUGAUUGGAAUGAUAGUACCAAAAUUUCAGUGAGGUAUGGUUAGUGGAAUUAGAAAUAUUUAUCCUGGACACCAUAGGAGAAUAUAAAACUAGUUUCAAAUAUUUGGAGAGCUGACAAGUAGAAGAUAAAUUAAGGAAUUGUUUGUAUUGUCCUAUGGCCUUGAGAAGAAGCUAUAUGGAGUCUUUUGCCUCAAAAUGAGAAAAGCACAAAGAUGUCCAAAGAGGCAAAGAGAAUUCUCAUUCAAGAUGGCAGACACAGCACAUAUCUCCUUUCUACUUUAAAUCUCAUAGAAAUGUCAGCAAAGAAGAACUAAGGGUAAUAAAUUAAAGACUACUCGGUACAGAAGAAAGGGCAUCAGGAACUAGGGAUAUAGAUAAGUUUCUUGAAAGUGGGAAUACUUGGAAUUGUAUUAACAGCUUAAAUCACAUUCACAGGAGAAGGCUGCAGUAGAGGCUAGAGCUAUUUUUCCUGGCAACAGACCCAGAGAGAAGCUCAACACUUGGAGUAUGAAAGGAGAGUUGGAAAGAAAUCAACUGUGGAAUAACUGCGUGAGUCAUAGUCCAUGUUCUCCUUCCCUGCAUCACAUGCUCAGGCUAAAACCAGAGGACUAAUAUUUAAAAUAAUUGAAUAGUCUUCGUGAGAAGGAGCCCUAGUUGGGGUGAUGCCUCAUCUGAGUAAACUUCUUCCCACUUUUGCUGGGAAGUGGGAGAAGUAGGGAGGGGGACCUCCAACCUCCUCUUCUUUCACUACAAGGUCUAAAGCAAAGGCUGCCAGUGACAGCCACUUGUGUAGACAAGAGAGAGCUGGACAAGGCCGAGCUAUCUGCAUUGAAUGAGGUGACUUACCUCAGUUGUAGGUAUGAAUCUAUAGCCAAGGAUUAUGAAAACCUGAAGAAAAAUGAGGACAAAAGAGCAGGUUGAGAGAAAAAAUACCCUGACUCUGGAGGAAAUAGAUAAUUCAGGACAUAGAAAAUUCUUUAUUCUAUGUAGUAUCCUCAUGGAAACAAAGUCGAGAGAAAGCAUUUUUAGUGCAAAAUUAGAUUGCUAAGAAAGAACAACUAAAACAAAAUAAAUAGUUAUUAAAAUGAAAAAGUAAUUGUUAAAGUUAGAAAUUCAAGGGAAGACCUGGGAGAAAAAGUUGAAGAAACUGCUCUAAAUGUAGUGCAAAAAGAUAAAGGAUGGAAAAUGUGGGAGAAAAGUGAAGAGAUUAGAGAAGCAUCCAAAGGGAUGUUCAGAAAGAGACAAAACAAAGAAUAAGAGAGAAUUUUCCAUAAGUGAGGAAAUAGGACUUGAGAUUGUAAGAACCCUAGAGAAUGCAAAAUAGGAUGAAUGAACAAACUUAGCCCAAGGCACAUUCUUGUGACAUUUUAGAUAUUGAGAAUAAAGGGAAGAGUCUAAAAGCCAAAAGAAUAGAUUACUCAGUGAGAAUCCAAUUGGUAUUAGAUAGAUCAUCAGCAACUGUAAAUGCUAAGAAAAACAAAACAAGAAGCAUGCCUUCAAAAUGUGUAAAAUAAAGUUUUUUGAACCUAAAAUUCUCUACUUAGCCAAACUAUCAAUCGAUCAAGAGUGAGGCAUUUUCAAGCAUGCAAGAACUCAGACCAUUUACCACCCACAGACUAUUUCUGAAAGAAUUACUGAAGCAAAACAAAAAAGAAUCCAAGUAGGAGGAAGCCAUGGCCUCUAAGGAACAGUGGAUCUCACCCAAGAUUGUAAUGAAAUAUAAUUCCAGGAUGACAACCUUGAGGCAGGCCUAGAAAGCCAUCAGUCUGAAUUAGAACCAGAAGUCAGAUGCUCUGUGAAGAAUCUCUUUCAGGAGGACAUGGAUUUCUUCUAUAAAUUGAAUGACUGAGAAGCUGAGUGGUCUUGUGACAAGGCAAAGGCAUGGUAGGUCAUUGUGAUAAGGUAUCAUCCAAACACUCUCCAAACUGUGAAGUAAUUUUCUUCUUCCAAUAGCAAAGGUUUAUUGACAAGAGUUACGUCUCCUCUAUAGGCUCAAGGGCACAGCUGUGCUUGGUUCUGCAGUGAACAAUGAUCUCCCUACGAAUAUUAUGAAUGCUACUUUUCAGUUUUCAGUUUAAAAAAUCAAUUUAUAGACAAUGCAUCAAAGAUUAAUUGUAGUUAUAGGACAAGUGUGAAAACAAUAGUACACUGGAAUGGAGGUUAGGAGAGAGGGAAGGAGCAAAGGAACAAGAUGUAAUGAUGUUGGAUUCUUUUCAUCAGAAAUAAAAAGAAUUAAGAGAUAUUGUGUCUACAUUUGAGAAGUCAAAAUAGGGUUUCAAGUAUCUUAUAUAAAUUUGUUAAUUGUAGUGAUAUCACACUGAGGCACUAUAACAUAGUCGUUAAGAGCAUGGAUCCUGGAGCCAGAACACCUGCGUUUGAAUUUUUGCCACACACUUCAAUUUGGGCAAAUUGCUUAUCUGUGCCUUGGUUUUCUCAGCAAAAAUUGAAAAUAAAUAGUUAAUAUUUCACAAAGUUAUUUGAAAAUAAAAACAGUUGAUAUAUAUAAAGUGCUUAGAACAGUCUUUGGCACAUAAAAAAUUAUUCUAUAUCAUCAUAUGUUACCGAUGAUAACGAUGAUGAUGAUGAUGAUGGAAAACAACUAAACAUCUGGAGAAAAGGGAACCCUUGUACCCUGCUGGUGGGAAAGUAAAUUAGUACAUUGAUUAUGGAAAACAGUCUGGAGGUUCCUCAGAAAAUUAAAAAUAAAUCUACAUAUUACCCAGAAAUGGGAUUUCUGGGUAUAUAUGCAAAGAAGAUGAGAUAAGUAUGCCAAAGAGACAUCUGCACUUUCAUGUUCACUGCAGCAUUAUUUACAGUAUCCAAGAAAUGAAAUCAAUGUAAGUGUCCAUCAGUGGAUGAAUGGGUAAAGAAAAUGCGGGGAGGGGGAUUAGGAAGAUGUUGGUCAAAGGAUACAAGGUUUCAGUUAGACAGGAGGAAUACAUUCAGGAGAUCUAUUGUACAAUAUUGUGGCUAUAGUUAAUAACAAUGUUUUAUAUUCUUGAAAGUUGCUCUAAGAGAAUAGGUUUUAAGUGUUGUCACCAUAAAAAUGUUAAGUAUGUGAGCUAAUGCAUAUGUUAAUUUGCUCAAUUUAGCUAUUUCACAAUAUAUACAUAUUUUAAAACAACAUAUUGACAUGAUAAAUAUAUACAAUUCUUUGUCAGGUACAAAGUUAAAUGAAAAUACAACACAAAACAUUGAAAAAGUUAAAAAAUAAAAAUUUAAUGGGCAGAGAUCGGAAAAGGGAGGUAGUAGCUUGAGAAAAUUUAUUUUUUCAAUUUUUUUAAAAUGAGAGAUCAACGAAUGUUUAAACUUGACAAGUUAGUAAAGAGAGGCAUAACCAUAUUCAGUGUUAUGGAAGCAAUCUUCAGAGAAAUUUCUAUUUUGUCCUAUUUUAAGGGUUUUUAAAAAUUCAUAUGCAAGCACUACUUUUAUUUAGUUUUUACCAAUUUUACUGAGGUGUAAUUGACAUACAAUAAACUGCACAUAUUUAAAGUGAACAGUUUGAUACAUUUUGGACUUAGGUACACACCCCUGAAACUAUCACAGUAAUCAAGAUGAUGAACAUAACCACCAACCAUCAUGCUCUAAAGUUUCUUCAUGCACCUUGAUAAUCUCUUCUUCCUACCUCUUCCCACUCCCCCAAUCUCAGGCAACCACCGUUCUGCUUAUGUGACAAUAAAUUGGCUUGCAUUUCCUAGAAUUUUAUAUCAAUGAAAUCAUAUAGUAUGUACUCUUACAUCUGACUUCUUUCAUUCAGCAUAAUUAUUUUGAGAUUAUUCACACUAUACUGUGUAACAAUACAUUCAUUCUGUGGAUAAACCACAAUUAACAAAUUUACUUGUUGAUGGAAAUCUGGUUUUUGUUUUGCUUUUUCCAGUUUUUGGCUAUUACAAAUAGAACUGCUGUGAUCCUUCAUGUACAAGUCUUGGUAUGGGCUGGGAUUUCAUUUCUUUGGGAUAAAUACUUAGAAGUGGAAUGGCUGGAUUAUAUGAUAGGCAUAUGUUUAAAUUUUUAAGAAACUGUCAAACUGUUUUCCAAAGUGUUUUACAGUAUAUGAGAAUUCCAGUUUCUCCACAUCCUUAUCUUGGCAGUCAACUCUAUCAGCCAUUCUGACAGCUAUGUUGUGGUAUCUUAUUGCAGUCUUAUUUUACAUUUCCUUGGUGACUAUUUAUAUUGACUAUCUUCUCAUGUUUUUGUUUGUCAUCUGUAUAUCUUUAUGGAAAAGUAUCUGUUCAGAUAUUUUGGUCGUUUAAAAAAUUGUUUUUUUUUCUUUUUAUUGAGAUUUCAGUUUUCUUUAUGUAUUUUGGAUACAAAGCUUUCAUUAAAGAUAUGAUUUACAAAUGUUUUCUUCCAAUCUGUAGCUUGACUUUUUAUUCUUUUAACAGUGCCUUCUGAAGAAUAGAAAUUUUUUAUUUUGGUGAGGCUCAAUCUUUACCUUUUUUCCUUUCAUGGAUUAUGCUUGGGUGUUAUGUUUACCAAAUAUUUGCAUAACCUAUGAUCACAAAGAUUUUCUAUUGGGUUUAGUGUUAGGUUUUGUAUUGAAGUCUGUGAUCAGUUUAAAGCUAAUCCUUGUGUGUGGUUGAAACAAAAUUAAUUUUUUUUGCAUACAUGUAUUCAAUUGUUCCAAUGCCAUUUGUUGAAUCUCUCCUUUCUUCACCAAAUUGCCUUUGUACUUUUGCCAAACAUCAGUUGCUGAAAUAUGUGUUGGUCUAUUUAUGGACUCUAUUUUGUUCCAUUGAUAUAUUUGUUUAUCUUGAUUCUAAUAUCAGACUGUAUUGAUUAGUCUUAUAAUAAGCCUUGAAAGUACACAGUUAGUUCUCCAACUUUGCUUUUCUUUGUCAAAAUUGUUUUGGCUCUUUUUUUUUUUUUUUUUUUUUUUUUGAGAUGGAGUCUUGCUCUGUUUCCCAGGCUGGAAUGCUGUGGCGCAAUCUCAGCUCACUGCAGCCUCUGCCUCCUGGGUUCCAGCAAUUCUCCUGUCUCAGCCUCCCUAGUAGCUGGGAUUACAGGCGUAAGCCACCAUGCCUGGCUAAUUGUGUGUGUGUGUGUGUGUGUGUGUGUGUGUGUGUGUGUGUGUGUAUUUUUAGUAGAGAUGGGGUUUCACCAUGCUGGCCAGGCUACUCACGAACUCCUGACCUCAGGUGAUCUGCCUGGCUCAGCCUCCCAAAGUGCUGGGAUUACAGGCUUAAGCCACUGUGCCCAGCCUGUUUUGGCUCUUAUAGGUCCUUUGCAUUUCCAUAUGAAUUGUAGAAUCAGCUUGUUGAUUUCUACAAACAAACCUUUUGAGAUUUUUAUUGGGAUUGCAUUGGGUCUGUAGAUCAAUUCAGGAGGAACUGACAUCUUAACAAUAUGAAGUCUUCUCACCCAUACCAAUGUACAUCUCUCCCAUUUAUUUAGGCCUUCUUUAAUUUUUCUCAGCGGUUUUGUAAUUUGUAAUGAAAAGAUCUUGCCUAUAUUUGUUAGAUUUUUUUCCUAAAUAUUUCAUAAUUUCAUCCUAUGGUGUUAUUUUUAAAAUUUCAUUUUCCAAUUAUUUGUUGACAGAAUAUAAGAAAUAAAAUUUAUUUUUGCAUAUUGAUGGCAUAUUCUGUGAAAUUGCUAAGCUCACUUAUUAGUCCUGCAAGUUGUUUUUAUAGAUUUCUUCAGUUUUUUUACAUAGACGAUCAUGUUGUUGGCAAGGAAAGACAGUCUUACUUCUUAUCCAAUCUGGAUGCUCUUUAUUUCUUUUUCUUCUAUGACUGCACUGGCCACAAUCUCCGAUACAGUACUGAAUAGAAGUUUGAGAGCAAGCAUCCUUGUCUUGUUCCUGAUCUUAGAAGGAAAGCAUUCAGUCUUUUGCCAUUAGGUAUGGUAUUAGUUAUACUUUUUUGUAUAUGCCCUUUAUCAGGUUGAGGAAGUUCCCAUUUAUUUUAGUUUACUAUAAAUUUUCAUCAGGAAUGGCUGUUGGAUUUUGUCAUUUUUUUAAAUCCACUGAUAUAAUCAUAUGGUUUUUCUUCUUUGAUAUGUUAAUAAAUUACAUUGAUUUUUUAUUAUACCAAUCUUGCAUUCUUAGGAUGAGCCCCUCUUAGUCAUUAUGUAUUACCCUUUUUAUGUGUUGUUGGAUUUGAUUCCUUAAAAUAUUGUUUUGAACGUUCACAUCUAUGUUCAUGAGAUAUAUUGCUCUGUGGUUUUACUUCUUUUCAUGUCUUUGUUUGGUAUUUAGAGUAUUUAGCUCACCACAUAGAAUGAGUGGCGAGUUAUUACCUUGUCUUCAAAUUUUUGGAAGAGUUUAUACAGAAUUGAUAUUAUUUCCUUCUCAAAAUGUUUGAUAUAAUUCUCCACUGAACCUGAGUCUGGAGUUUUCUUUGUAGGAAGGUUUCUAUCUACAAAUCCAAUUUCUUUCGCAGAUAUUGGGUUGUUCACAUUAUCUUUUUCUUUUUAAACGAAAUUUGGUGGUUUGUGUCCUUUGAAAAAUUAAAAGUGCUCAACAUCAUUGAUCAUCAGAGAAAUGCAAAUCAAAAGUACAAUGAGAUAUCAUCUCACUUCAAUUAAAUUUGCUUAUAUCCAAAAGACAGGCAAUAACAAAUGCUGUUGAAGAUGUAGAGAAAAGGGAGCCCUUCUACACUGUUGGUGGGGAUGUAAAUUAGUACAUCCACUAUGAAGAACAGUUUGGAGGUUCCCCAAAAAGCUAAAAAUAGAGCUACUAUAUGAUCCAGCAAUCCCACUGCUGGGUAUAUAUCCCAAAGAAAGGAAAUCAGUAUAUCAAAGAGAUAUCUACACUCCCAUGUUUGUUGCAGCCCUGUUCACAAUAGCCAAGAUUUUGAAGCAACCUAAGUAACCAUCAUCAGAUGAAUGCAUAAAGAAAAUGUGGUACAUAUACACAAUGGAAUACUAUUCAGUCAUCAAAAAGAAAGAGAUACUGUCAUUUGCAACAAUGGAUGAAACUGGAGAUCAUUAUGUUAAGUGAAAUAAGCCAGGCUCAAAAAGAUAAACAUCACACUUAUCUGUGAGAUGUAAAAAUUAAAAUGAUUGAACUCAAACAGAGAGAGUAGAAGGAUGGUUAUCAGAGGCUAGGAAGGGUAGUGGGGGGCUGUGGAGGACUUGGGGGUGGUUAAUGGGUAUAGAAAAAUAGAAAGAAUGAAUAAGACCUACUGUUUGAAAGCAGAACAGUGUGACUGUAGUCAAUAACAACUUAAUUGUACAUUUUAAAAUAACUAAAAGAGUAUAAUUCAAUUGGUUGUAACUCAAAGGAUAAAUGCUUAAAGGGAUGGAUUCCCCAUUCUCCAUAUAUGAUUAUCACACAUUGCAUGCCUGUAUGACAUCUCAUGUACCCCAUAAAUAUAUACACCUACUAUGUACCCCCCAAAGUUUUAAAAAAUUAUUUCAUUUCAUCAAAGUUGUCAAUAAUUUUGGCAUUUGAACUUCCAAUAGUGUGAAAAUUAAAAAAUAAUAAUUUUGGCAUAAAGUUGUUCACAACAUACUCAUUAUCCUAUUAAUAUCUAUAGCAUCUGUAGUGAUUUCACCUUUUUUAUUCCUGAUAUUAGUAAUUUCUGUUUUCCAUUUUUGUCCUUAUCAGUCUGACUAGACACCUAUUAUUUUUAUUGACCUUCUCUAAUAUUCAGCUUUUGGCUUCAUUAAGCUUUAUUGUUUUUGUGACUUCUAUUUCAUUGAAUUCCAAUCUGAUCUUUAUUAUUUCCUUUCUUCUGCUUACUUUGCAUUUUAUUUUUUCUUCUUUUUCUGGCUUCUUAAGGGGAAGCUGAGAUCAUGGAUUUGAGAAAUUUCUUCUCCGUUACUGGAGGUAUUUAAUACUAUAAAUAUAAUACUAGUACUAUAAAUUUUAGUACUAUACAUGUAAUACUAGUACUAUAAAUUUUAGUACUAUAAAUUUCCCCUGAAGUACUUCUUUAGUGCCAUCCACAAAUUUCAAUAUGUUAUUUUUUAAAUUUUCAAUUAGUUCAGCAUACUUUCUAAUAUGCCUUUUGAUUUCUUCUUUUAUCAAUGGGGGUGUUUAGAAGUGUAUUAUUUUGUUGGCAAGUAUUUGGGAAUUUGCCAUAAAACUUUUUAUUAUUGAUUCCCAAUUUAAUUCCAUUAUAGUUAGAAGAAAUAUUCAGUUGGGCUUCAAUUCAUUCAUACAUAUUGAGACAUGUUUUAUGGUCCACAAUAUAGACUAUCAUUUUAAUGUUCCAUGUGCAUUUGAAAAAAAAAUGUGUUAUACAGCUGUUGUUUGGUGAGGUGUUCUAUGCCAAUUUGUCAUGUUGGUGGGUAGUUUGGUUCAAGUCUUCUAUAUCUUUACUGAUAUUGUUCUAUUAUUAUUGAGGGGUAUUGAUAUAUUUGUCUAUAGUUGUAGAGUCAUCUAUUUCUCUUUGCCGUUAAAUGAAUUUUUGCUUCCUGUAUUUUAAAUUGAUUUUAUUAGGUACAUAAGCAUUUAGGAUUGUUACGUACUCUCAAUGAAUUCACCCCUUAUUCAUUAUGAAACGAACUUCCUUGUUCCCAGUGAUAUUAAUAUUGUUUGCUCUUGCUCUGACAUUCAUAUAGCCACUUCAGCUUCCUUUUGAUUAGUCUUAGCAUGUUAACAUGGCUGUUCAGGCUACCAUAACAAAACAGCACAGGCUGGGUAACUUAAACAACAGACAUUUAUCUUUCCACAGUUCUGAAGACUGAAGUCCAAGAUCAAGGUGCCAGCAGAAUUGGUGUCUGGUGAGGUCUCUCUUCUUGUCUUGCAACUGGCUACCUUCUUGUAGUGUCCUCACACAGCUUUCUCUGUGUGCAAGCAGAGAGCAGGGUGGGGAGAGAGAGAAAGAGAGCAAGUUCUGGUGUCUCUUCCUUUCCAGUUCUGUUGGAUUAGAGUCCCACCCUUAUAUCCUCAUUCGACUUUAAUCACUUCCUUAAUGCCCUUAUCUCAAAAUACAGUCAAAUUGGGGGUUAAGAUUUCAUCAUAUGAAUUUUGGAGAGACACAGUUCAGUCCAUAGCAGCAUGGUAUAUCUUUUCCAUCCUUUUACAUAUAACUCAUUUUCUUUUAGUAUGUGAAGUGUUUUUCUUAUAGGAAGAGUAGAGUUGAAUUUUGCAUUUUUACCCAGUCCUAACAAUCUCAGUUGGGGGGUCAAAAUAAUAACAUUUAAUGUGAUUAUUGAUAUGCUAAGGUUUAAAUUUGUCACCUUGCUAUCUGCUUUCUAUUUAUUCCAAGUGUUAUUUGUUCUCCCUUUGUACUUUUUCUGCCUUCUUUUGGAUUAUUUUUAUUAACUCAUUUUAUCUUCUCUGUUGGUUUAUUAACUACAACUUUGAUGGAUACACACACACGCGCGCACACACACACACACACACACACACACACGUUAUUUUGACUCCCCCAGUUGAGAUUGUCAGGAUUGCAUAAAAAAGCAAAAUUCAACUCUAUUCUUCCUAUAAAAGAAAAAUACUUCCCAUACUAAAAAAAAAAAAAAUGGUUAAAUGUAAAAGGUUGGAAAAGGUACACCAUGCUGCUAUGGACUGAAUUGUGUCUCUCCAAAAUUCAUAUGGCAAAACCUUAACCCCCAAUUUGACUGUAUUUUGAGAUAAAGGGAUACAUUAAAAUACAUUUAAUCUCAAACAUAUUUUUUCAUUUCUAGAAGUUUGAUGUAUACAUUUUAAAUAUCUUUUAGUGUCUCUACUUAAGUUUUUGAACAUAUAUAGCUGUAAUAGCUGUUUUAAUAUCCUUGUUUGUUAAUUUUAACAUCUGCCUCAGGUUUGGUUUGGUUUCAGUUGAUUGUUUUCCCUUCAUUAUGGUCAUGUUUUACUGCUUCUUUGCCUUCCUGGUCAUUUUUUUAUUGUAUGCCAGACAUUGUAUAUUUUUUUCCUAUUGAGUGUUGAAUUUUUUUAUUUCUAUAAAUAUUCUUGAGCAGUUGAGUUGUUUGGAAACAGUUUGUGUUUGGGGAUCAAACCUUUAUGAUUUGUUAAUCAGGACCAGAGAAGUGUUUAGUUUAGGGCUAAUUAUGCUCCACUACUGAGGCAAGAUUUCUUUGAGUACUCUACCAAGUGAUUCAUGAAUUAGGAGAUUUUCUAGUCUGGCUGAUGAAAGUAAGCCCUUUUCCAGUCAUGUGUAAGAACUUGAUACUGUUCCCCUUAAUCCUGUGGGAUGGUUCUUUUCCUUAUCUGCGGUUGUUUCCUCUUAUGCAUGUGAUAAUCAGUAGUGUGAUGAAUACUUGAGAGGAUCCCUUUACAGAACUUGCCAUCAUAUUUUUCAUAGAGAAUAUCUUGCAUUAGCUGAUUGAAAUAUUUAUUCUUGAUUGGUACUUGGCAGUCCUGUUUACUACCUGUCCUGUAUAUGGAAUAUCACUGCCAACUUUAGCGGGGGGGGAUGGGACUGGGUGGGCAGUUCCUGCAAAAACUUCAAAUGACUAAUUAGAAAUGUCAGUGGCAUUUUCUCCCUCAGAAACAUCGCUGUUUAGGAUCGUGAAUUUUCUUUUACUCAUAUUUGAUUCGAUUAUCUUUCUUUCAAAGAAUUUUUCUAGAAUGAAUAUUUUACUUGUAUAUUAGGAAUAGUUUUUAAAUAAUCAGAACACAACUGCUCUCCUCAAUUAUCAUCAUUCUCAUUACUCAUUCCAUUUCUCUGGCUGGCAGCCUAUGGACCACUGGAAGGCCCGGCCAGGGGUGUGGUCAUCAGGACUUCCCAAAAGCACAUCUCCUUCCUCUGUGGCUUGACUGUGUGCCUCUCCUCUCGAGCUGCAACUGUACCAUGAGUCUCCCUUCCAGAUCAAAAGGAAGAUCCCGACCGCAGUCCUUUGGAAUAAGAUUUGCUAGUAUUCAAUGUUCUUUCUUGUGUCUCAACUCAUAUCCAUAUUUUCUUCUCAGAAUUCCAUAGGUUUAGCCCUUUGGGGGUUUUUACUUUUUUCUUCUUAUUUUUUAUACUGCCUGUUCCUACUUUAUGCUGUGUUUUACCCAUAUUUAUGUCAUUUUAAUCAGUUCCAUAAGACUGUGUUUGAACUCCCCACCUCCACUUGCUUUUGUUUUGGGUGAUGACUGUGCUGUCCACCUCUGCCACUUGUUUCAGGCCCUACUACUUUUUCCCUCCAAUGUUCCUUCUUUUGUGUCUGCCAUCUAUUAUUGCUGAAUACGUUAUUGUCGUUUUUGUCUUCUUAUUUUAUUUUCUCCUCUUCUUCCUUCAGUGGAUGUCUUGAGAUGUUCUUGCUUCUUAUGUUCCAUGUUUGCUGACAUAGGGCAAAACUAAGAAUCUGCGACAAGACAAGCUGCUUUUUCCUCUAUCAAAGCUGCCUUCAUCGGGCAGCUGUCCUUCAUUCUCAAUUACUUUAUCUACUCUUUUUUGCCUUUUUCACAUCCAACCUGUAAUCUAUAUUUUCCUUUCUUCAGCUAUAUCUUAAACUGUUAAAAUAGAGCCUGACAUGUAGUACACAUUCAGUAAAUAUCUGUUGAAUAAAAGAAAACAAUAAAUGAAUGAAUGGUUGUUUGGUAAUUAUCGCCUCAGUUGUUGAUUCUUUGCUUUUAUUUUAGUUCCUGGAAGCUGGUCUGCCUGGAUCAGCAUUGCGUGUGGUGCAUAUUUUUAUGUAGUUUGCAUUACCUUAUGCCCCACAAAGACCACACAUUUCUUACUAUACAGGAAGUGCUGUUGCAUCCUGGGCUUCUAUAUGCAUAGUGAUUUUCCUUACCAUGUGUGUUGAUGUGUUUUUAAAGUGGGAAGUGGAGGCUUUUGUGCAUAGAAAGGAACCAUGUAUAGGUAUUUGAAUAUUAAAAUAACAUUUAAUUAAUUUAAGUUGCAAACGAAACUAUAAUUUUCUUAGGACUUUAAGUUCACUUUGUGAUUUUGAUUUUACUUAUAAA